rnacentral:sRNA from 1 species
GUGGUCAUAUGAACCAUAGAGAGGAGAGUGGUCAUAGAGAACCAUAGAGAGGAGAGUAGUCAUGAGGAGAGAGUGGCCAAUGGUGGCUCAUCAUGGAGGAGCCCACUUCCACUAGACCACUGAGUCAACCUGCAUUUGAGUGUGCCAGUGUGGAAUAACAGUUGAAGUUAACUAUCAUGCUGAACAAGAGACUUCAGCUUGGAGUCUCUGAAGCUACGCACAGGGGUAACAGAAAUUGCUGGACAGGGAACUCACAGAAACAGAGAAGGUUCUGGAUACCCUGAGGGAAGUGGAGUUAUCAUCGGAGAAGCUGCUUUGCACCCCACAGUGAAUGAGCUACUCAGAGACAGCCUGACUACAAGCAAGUGCUAUGGACUAUCCAUCAACGGUCAAGUGGGGAAUCAGCCCCAUUCCUCUGGGACCUUGAAGAAGGGCCUCUCACUCUGCCACAUGGGCCUGAUCUCUCCUCAGAGACCAUGCUGCAUCCUGCCUGCUUGUCUACUUGGCCCUGUUCUGUAUCAGUUUCUUCCAAGACUGAAACAUUCCAUUCCAAAAGGAAGUUCUUUAAGCAGAGAGGUAAAUAAAUCAAAAACAGAUUCAGGAAGUCCCUGAAACUGACCAGAUUCACAAGGCCUCUUCCUGCCAGAGUAAACGACAAAAGCCAAGAGUCCCUUUCACAAAUGCACAGCCACGCUUCAAAGACUCUCAGACAAGCUGAGCUGCAAAGGAGACUCUCAGACCAGACAAGCUGCCUGGAAGAAGUAGAAGCAGGCCACGAUGCCUCAAAAAUAUUUACAUCAGCUGAGGCACCGGGAAAACACAUUCUCCAACUUGUUGAGCUACCUGCAGUGUGCUCCAGGUCCCCAGCUCUGUGAGCUGUCACCCAUGCUGGGUUGAGCUUUGGAGAUGCAGAGGUCUCUGAAUCAUUUCUGCUCCUAUAAGUAGCCCCUCACUCAUACUCCUGCUAGUAUCCCCAAGAAAACUCAUUGCUUUGCCAAGUCGGGCUUUGGUCUGCUGUGGGUUCCCUCUCUGGGGUGAGUCAAUAUGGAUGUUGUAUCUCCUCAGGAAAAGUUUUGUUACCCAAAAGGUGUUGGUGGCCCUGCUAAACAAAUCUCUUAUUCCAAA